rnacentral:rRNA from 1 species
GCAAGUCGAAGGAGAAAUAGAAGCUUGCUUUUACUGGAGACUGGCGGACGGGUGAGUAACGCGUAGAUAACCUGCCUAUAGCUGGGGGAUAACACUGCGAAAGUGGUGCUAAUACCGCAUAAUGCAGCGGGGCCGCAUGGCCAUAGUUGUUAAAGGUUUCGGCCGGCUAUAGAUGGGUCUGCGUGCUAUUAGUUAGUUGGUAGGGUAACGGCCUACCAAGGCGAUGAUAGCUAGGGGGUCUGAGAGGAUGAUCCCCCGCACUGGGACUGGGACACGGCCCAGACUCCUACGGGAGGCAGCAGUGAGGAAUCUUGCGCAAUGGGCGAAAGCCUGACGCAGCCACGCCGCGUGCCGGAUGAAGGCCCUAUGGGUUGUAAACGGCUUUUACUAGGGAAGAACGAGAGGGUUUCGAUCUUCUGUGACGGUACCUAGUGAAUAAGCACCGGCUAACUCCGUGCCAGCAGCCGCGGUAAUACGGAGGGUGCAAGCGUUGUCCGGAAUCAUUGGGUGUAAAGGGUACGUAGGCGGGAGCCUAAGUCUGGGGUGAAAUCUUGCCGCUUAACGGUAAAAUGGCCCUGGAUACUGGGUUUCUUGAGUGCAGAAGAGGCAGGUGGAAUUCGUGGUGUAGCGGUGAAAUGCUUAGAUAUCGCGAAGAACAUCAGUGGCGAAGGCGGCCUGCUGGUCUGCAACUGACGCUGAGGUACGAAAGCGUGGGGAGCGAACAGGAUUAGAUACCCUGGUAGUCCACGCCGUACACGAUGCAUACUAGGUGUUGGCCUUAGGACCAGUGCUGCAGUUAACGCAUUAAGUAUGCCAC